AUUAGUCAUAUGUGUGUCGGAUGAGCUGUAACUAAUAACGAGAUUUAAGUAUUUUACGCUGAUAGAUUUAGACCCAACAAAUUAUUAUUAGCAUUAGUGAGUUUGUGUGAUUGAGUCUGACAAGAAUAUCAGGGUUUAAAAUGAGUUUUUUUUUUUUUUUUUUUUUUGAGAAAUAGAUAGCACGCUAUCUGCUUCGUUUAUUUCAUUUAGAAAUAAGCUUAGUUAGUGUUGUGAAUCAACUACAAUUCGAACUUGGGUUUCGGGUACCAACCAUCAAGUCCUUUGUCACUUGCUCUAGGGACAGUCGGUUACAUUGUUACAGCUUAUGCUAUUAAAA
rnacentral:lncRNA from 1 species